rnacentral:rRNA from 1 species
UACGUAGGGUGCAAGCGUUAAUCGGAAUUACUGGGCGUAAAGCGUGCGCAGGCGGUUAUGCAAGACAGAGGUGAAAUCCCCGGGCUCAACCUGGGAACUGCCUUUGUGACUGCAUAGCUAGAGGUACGGUAGAGGGGGAUGGAAUUCCGCGUGUAGCAGUGAAAUGCGUAGAUAUGCGGAGGAACACCGAUGGCGAAGGCAAUCCCCUGGACCUGUACUGACGC